GUUCAAGCCACAGCAGGCAGCAGACCUACCCAAUCAAUCCGAUAGUUUCAAUUUGGUGUCCAGGUUGCACCAGUGGUGGACAACCAGAGCCCAGCAUACCACCACCUGGCCUAGACACCCAGGACACCAGAAG
rnacentral:lncRNA from 1 species